CUCAAAUGGGCAUCCAAUUUCAGCGGUCACCAGGACUUACCAAUCUCAACGAGAAUGGUUAAGCCUGUCACUAAAGUUGAAGCAUUUUUCACUGAGUAAGGACGACUUGAAGAGUGUAGCCAUCAAGUACUGGUGGAAUUUCACCAAGAACAAGGAUCCGAAGGAUUUCGACCAGUCUGUGUUGGAGGAGUUUGCAGUAUCUUCCAUAGAAAAAGAAAUCCGUCGCCGCAGGCAAGUGAAGAAGAAGCAUACAAUAAGGUCUCUUCAUAAGUUGGAUACUCAGGGUAGUGCUAGCCAGAAGUUGCAGAAGGUUAUCAGUAGGGUCAUGAAGGAUCAGUUGCCUUCACCUGUUUGUGCUCUAGAUGGCAGGUAAUUAAUUAGCUGCCUAAGCUAAGCUUUUUUGAGUAUUAUUAAUGGAUCUAGCUAGUUUCAAAGAUCAAGUGUAAUUAACAAAUAACAAGCCCCUAAUCAGAAUAAAGUACCUCCUUUUGGAUAGCUCUGAUUUUGAGCACGUGCGUAGUGCAAAAUCCUACAACACGUACACAAGGUCUCCCGUGAUUCAGACCGAGUCGGGUAUAUUUGAGACUGGACUCAUGGAUUUGAAGGAGCCCAAGUGUGGAGCCAAUAGCAGCCCAGUAGCUAUUUAUGCCAUGCACAGUAUGCACUACCCUGGCCUCCGAUGACCGAAGCAAGAGGACGACAUCAUGAGUCAUCAAUCAUGACAACUCGUUACGAUUAUGGUGUUAUUUACAUAACAUUAUAUAUAGUUUAACAAACACAGAGUCUAACUGGCCGGGUUUAAUUGUGUUGAUUUGUUAUAGUUCACGAUGAUAGAAAGCCUCCAACUAUUACAUACUGACUUAAAAAAUGUAAGGACAGCAAGAGAUAUGGAGUGCUUGGAGUUCUAAUGACUUUAACUCCUAGAAGAUCGAAGAUCGAAAAAACAAUUAGACCAAAUGCAAAUGUAGUGUGUAUGGUUCUUCUUUUUCUUCCAUCAACACACAACAGGUAACUAAACUAUCACAAGUGGUUAUCCAAAAAAAAUAAUUAAUAUCACAAGUGGACAUUGUCAACCAAAUUAUAGAAUUAGAGGUUGAUGAUUAUAAAUUAGUUUCUAAAGAAUGAGGUAAUGUAGUGGGCAUAUUUUGGUUUAUCAGUGGUGUUCACAUAGUCACAUAGUGACUAAGGAAAUUAUAAUUAAUCAUUGUUUGAUGUAAAUUCAAGGGUGGAAAUGUGGAAAACAAAACAACUUAAUUUUACAAUAAUACUUCUCAUAUUUAGAUUUACAUUCAACAGUAAUUGACCAUGAUUUCUUUAGUCAUUAGGUGACCAUAUGAACACUACUAUUUGGUUUAUAACAACAUAUUCCCUCAAAAUGCCCCAACAUAUCCCCAACAUAAGCUAGAAACUAAUAUCAAAAUCAAAAUAUGUGUACAUGUUGAGGUUACUAUAUUAUUAUCUACAGAGGGCCGGUUGACUCUGAAGAGGAGUGUUGUUUAAGGUUCCUAAUUAACUUAACCUCCAAUGUCUAAAGGUCUAAGCAGGAAUUAAGGGAGGAUAUAUAUAUAUAUAUACUACCAGAAGAAAGACUUUAGCCGAAACGAAAAAAAAAAACAGGCCGNNNNNNNNNNNNNNNNNNNNGUUCAUUUCUAGGGAUAGAUCAUUUGACGAACUUUUUUAUCACAAAAUCAAAUCUCCACCGUUCAGUUCGUUGGGCUAUAUGAGUAGAUCACUUAUGCAAAUUUUCAGAAAAUUUGGUGAUCGUUAAGUCAUCCAAAUGAGGGAUUUAUUUUUAAUGAUUUUGAACGGUGUAGGUUUGACAUAAGUGUUAAGUUUUUUGUUUUAAUCUCAACCAUUCAAGCCCAUUAAAAAACAGAUCUAAUGUAGUGGACCUAUCCCUAAAAAUGAAAAAAAAUAGGGAUCCCUCAUUAGAAGGGCCCUAUAUAUAGCAGGGAUGUGAAGUGGACGUCCGCACAGUCCUUAAAGUGCAGACGUCCCUCCGUUCUCCACCGAACGGCUCCAACGACGCGGCGCCUCCACCCCAGCGGCCUCCAGCAGCGUCCCCGAUCACUUUUCCUCCUCGGCGAGUCCGCUGAAUUCCAGUUUUCCGGUGAGAUUGAUUUUGUUUGAAGUUUUGGGUGAUCUCGGCGGACUCGCCGGGGAGGGAAAGUGAUCGGGGACCCUGCUGGAGGCCGCUGGGGUGGAGGCGCGCCGUUAUCGGAGCCGUACGGAGGAGAACGGAGGGACGUCCGCACUUUAAGGCCGAUGCGGACGUCCACUCCUCAUCCGGCCUGUAUAUAUAUAAACAUAAACCCAUCAAGGUUUUACAUCAAUUUAAAUAGUCACAAAGAAAGUACAUUAUAAAGACCUCCACUUUUGGUUCUUUUUCCAUGUGGGAUAAAUCUAACACAAGUUCCAACAUGACUCUAUCCCAGAUGUUUGAAGAUUGGAUCACUGAACACGAUCUUAUCUACGUACGUACUCCAACAAUUUGAAGAGAAAGCAAGACGGUAUCAGAUUUUUAUAGCCAAAUAUCUCUCUCUGUAAAAGUUCAACAAAGAAGGUGCGCAUAGUGAUGAUAUUCGGCUUAAAGAUUUGAAACCGCCUUGCUUCGAUCUCUUCAUUGUUGGAAUAAACACAAUAUGUACAGUACUUUGAAUUUUUAUGCAAGGUUGGAUUGGGCCUUGUAAACUUGGGUUCAUGCAUUCAUUUUACAGGAUUAGAUAGACGAGCUAACUCAUCCAAGCCACAAAAAACAACCCAAAUAGAUUAGAGGCCCACUGGCCCAUAACCCAUCUCUCUCUUCUCCUUUCCUUCAAAAGUGUUUACCUUGUCUUCUAGCUACAAGGUUGUUUAAGAUUCCAUAAGAAAUUCUACUUAUUGAAGAUGAUAAUUCUAGAUAGAAAAAUUAUUGGUUUUAUAAAAAGAUUCAGUUUUAAGCACGUACUUGGUAAAACAAAAACGAUAAGAAAAAAGUUGUAAUUUGUAACAAUAUAUUGUCUUUUAUUGUAAUUCAGUAUUAAGGUAAUUUAAUCUUUUAAUAAAUCAACAUCUUGUAUGAUAAGUAAAGUGGAUGAUAAGGUGACAAUAGCCACACCCUUUGAAGUCGGCAUAUUCUGUCCAAUCUGAAGUCUAAUACAUUUUGAAAUCCUAAUCAAAUCUUAACUACUCUACCAAACACGGCCAAAAUGUAAAACUCCACUUUGAUAUAGUUGGGUGAUUUUUGGACUUCGAUAAAAGUGGCGGCAGGGCUUACAUGUCCUCUGAAAUGGUUUUCAAUGUAAGACCUGCUACCAUGAUACCAUCCUACCCAACUUCACUAGAGAAACCUGUUAGUUUGCUACGAUAAGUCGAUAACUAAAAGCAAUUUAGACUUCCAAUUCUGAAACUACAAAAACCAUGUGGGGGAUGACAAAUGCAAACACAAAUCUUUCCAUUAUAUAUAAGCAUGCAUGAACCUAUGGAGCCCUAACUGCAGGAGCAGGCACCAAAAUUGCCUCCUACCAAAUUGCGUAUCAUACCAAUAACACCAUUUACCUAAUCAGCCCCCGUUGUGAUUUCUUCAUUUUCCUAAGGAUUGAAUUUAGUUGGGCCUCUUGAUUUAUCAAACAAUGGGCAUCGGCGCAGUUAAGAUGAGGGAUAAGUUCAUUCCUAUAUGUUUACAAGCUUUCUUGUAGCCUCUCAAACUGCGAAACAUAUGAAACUGUAUACAUCUAACUUGGCUUUUCUAGUGCUAGACAAAAACCAAUUUCACGUGUAUCAUGAAGUUUGGUUUCUCCGACUCACAGUUUCUCCCUAGAGAGGAAUGAGUUGUUAGGGUUGAGAUAUAUCGUAAUUCGUAAGCGGUUGUUAAGCUCAUAGAGCUGAGUAACCUCGAUGAAAAUGGUGAUGAACGAGCUAAUGAUCAAGGAGCUACAGCAGUUGAUCAAAGUCAGAAGAAGUCAAAAGUUUGACCUUGACGGUGGGCGCGUGGCUUUCAAAUGUGUAGGUGUUCUUGAGGAUUCUUGUGAAGCUGUUAUCCUUUCCCUCAUAACAACUCUUCAGGAGCAGCACUCUCGUGACCAAGAAGAAAAGAUCUAGACCCUACACGUGUCCCUUUUGUAGCUGUCAAGAAAGAUAUUUUCUCUGCAUGGUGAAAUCUAGCAGCGGUUACAGUGCGAGGGAGGACCUGUUUAAUUUCAUACCACUCGUUCACGGUUCACUGUAAUAAUUCGUACACUCAACCAAAAAAAAAAAAAAGGAAAUCAUUGAUACCAAAAGGAAAAACUUCACCAAAUGAAGUGAAUCCUGAGCUUAUAUCAAACAAAAUUGCAUGUCAAUAUAAUAGAAUGUGGUGCUAUUGAUUCACACUCAUAGUUGAUCGAGUAUAGUGCAUGUUUCUCAAUCUUUGUUUCGAAGGCGAUUCAGUUGCUGCAAAAUUGAGGAUUGUUAUAGAAAAACGAUUCAGUUUCGAGUCAUAUGGCCAACCCUGAAGUAGCUGUAAAUGUAGAGCACUUGGAAGAAGAGAAAACUCAGAGGUCAGUCGUUCUUCACCUCACUUUAAGAUUAUGCAUUUUCUUCUUGUAUAUUAUAGUGAUGAGUGUAACUUGUGGUCUUAUUGUGUGAUUUUAGAUCGGUUGUUGAUGAACAUAGCGAGUUAGAGACUACUGCAACGGCAGAAUCUGUCCCAAAAGAUGGAGGAGAUACAAAAGAAGCUAGAAGCUGCAGGUUAUCCUUCAAUACAAUUUUCAAUCGAAAUGGGAACUUCCUUCCUAUGUGGAACAACGUAUUUGUAGUAUCUUGUGUGUUUACUGUCUCCUUUGAUCCUUUGUUCUUCUACAUUCCGAUCAUUAACGAGAAGAAGAAGUGUCUAUAUUUUGACACAAGGUUGAAGACCGUAGCCCUCGUCUUACGGUUACUCACAGAUCACUUCUACAUUGCGGACAUUAUUAUGCGAAUUUUGACCAGUAUACGUCAAACCAAGUUAUCAAAGGCUUCUGGGGUGAUGAAAGCACAAUCGGAAUCUCCUGAUUUGAAAGGGAAGACAUCAGUUGGUGAUGUUUUUGAAAUAGCUAAGAGGGCUUGGGCGAAAACUAAUAGAUCAUACGUCCUGAUUGACAUUUUAGCUAUUCUUCCCAUACCCCAGGUAAUCAAGAGAACCCUUUCAUGGUGUAAUGUUGCUUAAUUUCUUUCUUUCUAGCUAGUUGUCUGAAUCUUUACUUGCCAUUUGCAGGUGGCAAUGUUCAUUUUCUUUUCGAAAAUGGAGGGUCCGGGAUGGUCAAAAGAAAGAAGGCUUUUCGACACUCUUAUUAUAUUCCAAUUUGUCCCACGAGUUCUUCCCGUUUACUUAUUGUGCAGAGAACGCGAGAGAACUCUUAACAAAGCAAGCAUGUGGACUAAAGGUGUUUUCAAUUUCUUCCUGCACAUCCUUGCAAGUCAUGUAAGCCCUAAUACUGAGGCUAGUUACGUACUUACAUUUCUUUCAUAAUUUCCACCUAUAUGCAAUUGUCUUAAUUUGCAGAACAAAUGUUAAGUAGUUUUUGGUUUUAAGGUACUCGGAGCUCUUUGGUACUUCUUUGCCAUUCAACGAGAGGUGGAUUGUUGGCAUAUGCAUUCUGGUUGGCAACACCACAAUAGAUGCCAACUUAGUACCUAUAGUUCUAGCGCAGGACAAGAUGGAUUGAGAAAUAUCCCAUUGUUAGACAUAAAAUGUCCGAUAAACCUGCCGGAAGAAAAGAAAGGAAAGCCCUUUGAUUUUGGUAUAUUUGCUGAUGCACUUGACUCCGGCCUAGUGCAGACUACUGAUUUUCCUGAAAAAUUCUUGAAUUGUUUCUGGUGGGGGCGGCAAAAUCUGAGGUUUGCACAUAUUACUAGUUCUGUGCUUUGUUUACAUAUCUUCAUGACCUAGGAGAUGUUCUUAUAUACUAAUUGCUGCAUUUGUUUUGUUUCUAAUUGUGCAGCUCUCUGGGUCAAAACCUCCAUACAAGCACCUAUGCAUGGGAAAACCUCUUUGCUGUGUUUAUUUCGAUCAUAGGCUUGCUAUUGUUUAUAUAUCUCAUCGGAAAUUUGCAGGUUGGUGUCCAGUUUAUGAUACCUUAAUGCUCAUGUAUUACAUAGAAAUGCAUUUUGAUCAGUACUAUAUGUUUAAUGAACUAAACCUAUGCUUCUUUUGUCGUGGACUAUCAUAUUGUAGACAUACUUGCAGUUUGCGACUACAAGAUCAGAGAAGCUCAGACGAAAGAUGAAAACGAAAAAUUUAGAGGUUGAUUUGUGGCUAUCAAGAAAAGGCCUGCCUAGCAAUUUGAAGGUAGUGAUAAUGCAAAUCAUACAACAAAAACUUGAACAGAACAAAGAUGUUCAAGUUGAGGACACCCUUUCUGUUCUUCCUUCAGCACAUAGUAAAUAUAUCAGGCGCUAUCUUAGUUUGGCUACACUCAAGAAAGUAAGCAUUUCCUUUGUGAAUAUAACAGUGGAAAGGCCUAGCCAUCGUUAACGUACAACAAGUUUUUCUUGAACUUAGGUGCCAAUGCUUCAAACUAUGGUGGUAAGAAUGCUAAAAGCAAUCUGUGAACACCUUACGCCGGUGGACCAUCCAGAGGACAGUUACAUUAUCCGAGAGGGGAAGCAACUCCAUCAGAUGAUUUUCAUCACACAUGGUACUGUACAGACCUACAAGACCAAUGGUAAAGGUGGAAAAAUUGGUUCCAAGUUUCUUGAGAAAGGGGACUACUAUGGAGCAGAAGAACUUCUCAAAUGGGCAUCCAAUUUCAGCGGUCACCAGGACUUACCAAUCUCAACGAGAAUGGUUAAGCCUGUCACUAAAGUUGAAGCAUUUUCACUGAGUAAGGACGACUUGAAGAGUGUAGCCAUCAAGUACUGGUGGAAUUUCACCAAGAACAAGGAUCCGAAGGAUUUCGACCAGUCUGUGUUGGAGGAGUUUGCAGUAUCUUCCAUAGAAAAAGAAAUCCGUCGCCGCAGGCAAGUGAAGAAGAAGCAUACAAUAAGGUCUCUUCAUAAGUUGGAUACUCAGGGUAGUGCUAGCCAGAAGUUGCAGAAGGUUAUCAGUAGGGUCAUGAAGGAUCAGUUGCCUUCACCUGUUGGUGCUCUAGAUGGCAGGUAAUUAAUUAGCUGCCUAAGCUAAGCUUUUUUGAGUAUUAUUAUAGCUAGUUUCAAAGAUCAAGUGUACUUAACAAGCCCCUAAUCAGAAUAAAGUACCUCCUUUUGGAUAGCUUUUGAUUUUGAGUACGUAGUGCAAAAACCUACAACACGUACACAAGGUCUCCCGUGAUUCAGACCGAGUCGGGUAUAUUUGAG
rnacentral:lncRNA from 1 species